CAGUCGCCGCGGUAAUACAGAGGGUGCAAGCGUUAAUCGGAAUUACUGGGCGUAAAGCGCGCGUAGGUGGUUUGUUAAGUUGGAUGUGAAAGCCCCGGGCUCAACCUGGGAACUGCAUCCAAAACUGGCAAGCUAGAGUACGGUAGAGGGUGGUGGAAUUUCCUGUGUAGCGGUGAAAUGCGUAGAUAUAGGAAGGAACACCAGUGGCGAAGGCGACCACCUGGACUGAUACUGACACUGAGGUGCGAAAGCGUGGGGAGCAAACAGGAUUAGAUACCCGUGUAGUCCCUGUCUCUUAUAC
rnacentral:rRNA from 1 species